GUGAUAUGUGAACUGUCAUGUCUGCCUUGCCGUCAUCUCGGUUCCACUCGGUCACUGUCGCUACGCGCCCCACGCUUACCACACAAUGUCGAGGGAUUCACCUUUGGCUGAAAGUAUUGGAAGGGCCGUUCUGGCAGCUAUACAAGAAAUUAACCCCGCGUCAGCUACAACGGCUGCCGCAGAGCCACAACAGCACUCGGACUCCGGCACUGAUGGUACGGUAUCUUUAACAGCACCAGACUUCACCCCAGUGACCUCUCAGUCAGGUACCUACCAAGGAAGGCAUGAUAUAUCCAGAGAGGAGCUUGAACAUGUUCUUUCCCUGAAAACCACUUUUACUGAAGCAGCAUCUACUCUUGGAAUCUCAAGGCCAACUUUCUAUAAAUUACUACAAGACUACAAUAUUCCAACAUCAAAUUUGAUCUAAUCAGUGAUCAACAAUUAGAUAUUGAAGUGUCACAAAUAAAAACUGAACACCCAAAUGUUGGUGAAGUGAUGCUCAUGGCACAUCUGUAUGAAGGUAAAUUUGUUUCUUUAUUUUUCAGUCGAAAAAAAAGUUGCUCCAAUCGCAAAACAUGUUCUCAAUCAGAAAAAACUUCACUUCAAUCAAAAAAAACGUUUUCAAUCAAAGAAAAAACUUGUUCAAACGCAAAAAAAUAUUUGUGCUAUUUGUGGAUUAUUUACUGAUUUCAAGACAUGUUUUGGACAAUAUAUUAUACUGGCUUGUUUUGUCUGGAUGUCUAAGCUUGGAUUAUGGCCGUUUUUUGUGGAAUAUUUUCAUCUGUGACCAGUUAUGAGCCUUCAAAGGUUCACUGCCAGACCUCUAGUGGAGACCAUCUUUGAGAGGGGCAUGGCCACCUGCUUGGCCUACGGACAGACAGGAAGCGGAAAAACACAUACUAUGGGCGGAGAUUUCUCUGGAAAGAACCAAGACUGCUGGAAAGGAAUUUAUGCAUUAGCUGGAUGUAUUUGUCAUUUUGAAGAAACCCAAUUACAAGAAUUUAGAUCUACAAGUGUAUGCAGCCUUCUUUCAAAUCUACAAUGAAAAGGCAAGUGUAAUCAUCUCGUGAUUGGUGUGACCAUAUUUCAUGUGUGAUCAACACUAACCGACGCUGACUGUAUUGUGUGUGUGCUGACAGGUGUUUGACCUCCUGAAUCGUAAAUCCAAGCUGAGGGUGCUGGAGGAUGGGAAGCAGCAGAUGCAGGUUGUGGGGCUUCAGGAGAAGGAGGUCAAGUGCACAGAAAAUGUCCUGAAACUCAUUGAAGUGGGCAACAGCUGCAGAACAUCAGGGCAGACGUGUGCCAACGCUCACUCAUCCCGCAGCCACGCGGUGUUCCAGAUCAUUCUUCGGAGGAAGGGAAAGAUGCAUGGGAAGUUCUCGGUCAUCGACCUUGCAGGAAAUGAGAGGGGGGCCGAUACGUCGACUGCCGACCGCCAGACUCUGUCAGGGUCCUCUCCUCAUCCCAUCCCCACCUGACAUCCCUAAAAACCCCUUUUCCCUACCUUUCUCCUCUGUCUCUCUGCCUCUCUGUUCCUCUGUCUCUGUGUCUCCCUUUCAGUCUCCCAUCCGCUCCUCUACCUCUGUCUUCCCCUGCAGUGUGGCACCUGAGUGGAGUUGAGCUUCUCAGCUGACUCCACUCAGGUAAUCAGCCACAUCCAUGGAUCCCGGGCAGCUGGAAGACAUCUCGUUGAUUACCACCUCAGCAAUAAGAACCGGCUCAUCAUUCCACUCCCUGUCAGAUUGUUAAACUAGACACACAGUCAGUCAUCAUCUCGCCAUUUUUUGAUUACUAUGCUUUU